UGGGGAAUCUUGGACAAUGGGGGCAACCCUGAUCCAGCGAUGCCGCGUGAGUGAAGAAGGCCUUAGGGUUGUAAAGCUCUUUCACCCGUGAAGAUAAUGACGGUAGCGGGAGAAGAAGCCCCGGCUAACUCCGUGCCAGCAGCCGCGGUAAGACGGAGGGGGCUAGCGUUGUUCGGAAUGACUGGGCGUAAAGGGCGCGUAGGUGGUUUUUCAAGUCAGGCGUGAAAGCCCCGGGCUUAACCUGGGAACUGCGCUUGAUACUUGAUGACUAGAGGACGAGAGAGGACAGUGGAAUUCCGAGUGUAGAGGUGAAAUUCGUAGAUAUUCGGAGGAACAUCAGAGGCGAAGGCGGCUUUCUGGCUCGUAUCUGACGCUGAGGCGCGAAAGCGUGGGGAGCAAACA
rnacentral:rRNA from 1 species